UAGAAAUAUUUGAAGUGCGAUUUAGAGCGCUAAUCUUAAAGGUUUUGGUCCAAAAUUGGGCCAACGGACAAAAAUAAGUGAACCGGGCCUAAGUGGGCCCAAGACCCAACAUAUAUAAACAUUAGUUAUGAGCAUUUCAGCUCAUUUUGCCCUAAAGAAGGUGUGUGGGGCGCUGAACUGAGAAGAGAGAAGAGAAGAGAGAAAACCUAACUCUCUUUGAUCUUCAAACCACCAUAACUUGAGCUACGGAGCUCCGAUUGACGAGCCGUUUACGGCCACGCGUCGCUCUUCUCAUCCUCUACAAUUCUAUCUAAGUUUUGUGGGAUACUCCAACAUGGAUUCUAAGUGGGUUCUAUCCCUACUUCAUAUGGGCUGAGUGCAUUUGAUGGUUUUGGUGCACGAUUGGGAGAUUGGUGUUGCUUGAGGAGCUUUGGUGAGGCUUGGAGCUAAGGUUGGUGGAGACUCCCAAAGAAGAGGGUCAAUUGAUUUGGCUACAAGAGGUACGGUUUAAGUUUCAUUUAAGUACCGUGUGGUGUGAUGAGAAUUCCUAGGCUAGAUGCCCCUAGGAUUAAGUUUGGAUUGUGUAAAUGGUUGGUGCUAAUAUGCAUAGUUGGUAUGUAAUGUGAAUUAAUGAUUGGGUUGAGAAUUGUGUGGCCUUGUAUGUUUGGUGUAUUGAGAAUUGAAUGUAUGGGGUAAUGAGUAUUGAUUUGUGGUUUAUGCUUUUAAAUUGUGAAAUUGGGCCAGAGGCCAUGAAUUUUGGGCCGGAGGCCGAGAAGAGGUAAGGAAGGUAAGUUGAUGUGUGCAUUGUAUGAUGACACAAGUGAUUGGAUGAGUUUUAAAUAAUGAAUGUAUGAAUGAUUGGGUUGGUUAUUGAAUAAUAAGGUUUGAGGAGUUGAAGUGUGGA